rnacentral:tRNA from 1 species
GCGGGAAUAGCUCAGUUGGUAGAGCACGCCAAGGUCGGGGUCGCGAGUUCGAGCCUCGUUUCCCGCUCCA